GACGAACGCUGGCGGCGUGCCUAAUACAUGCAAGUAGAACGCUGAAGGAAGGAGCUUGCUCUUUCUGGAUGAGUUGCGCACGGGUGAGUAACGCGUAGGUAACCUGCCUGGUAGCGGGGGAUAACUAUUGGAAACGAUAGCUAAUACCGCAUAAAAUUGAUUAUUGCAUGAUAGUCAAUUAAAAGGUGCAACUGCACCACUACCAGAUGGACCUGCGUUGUAUUAGCUAGUUGGUGGGGUAACGGCUCACCAAGGCGACGAUACAUAGCCGACCUGAGAGGGUGAUCGGCCACACUGGGACUGAGACACGGCCCAGACUCCUACGGGAGGCAGCAGUAGGGAAUCUUCGGCAAUGGACGGAAGUCUGACCGAGCAACGCCGCGUGAGUGAAGAAGGUUUUCGGAUCGUAAAGCUCUGUUGUAAGAGAAGAACGAGUGUGAGAGUGGAAAGUUCACACUGUGACGGUAUCUGACCAGAAAGGGACGGCUAACUACGUG
rnacentral:rRNA from 1 species